rnacentral:rRNA from 1 species
CAAGUCGAACGAGAAUGAUGGCUUCGGCUCUCNUAGUAAGUGGCGGACGGGUGCGUAACACGUGGGUAAUCUACCUUCCAGCGGGGGACAACCGUCCGAAAGGAUGGCCAAUACCGCGUACGUCGGCGAGGGCUCCGGUCCUUGUCGGGAAAGGCGGCCUCUUCUUGAAAGCUGCCACUGGAAGAUGAACCCGCGGCCCAUCAGCUAGUUGGUGAGGUAAUGGCUCACCAAGCUAAGACGGGUAGCUGGUCUGAGAGGAUGAUCAGCCACACUGGGACUGCGACACGGCCCAGACUCCUACGGGAGGCAGCAGUGGGGAAUAUUGGGCAAUGGGCGAAAGCCUGACCCGGCCACGCCGCGUGAGUGAUGAAGGCCUUCGGGUCGUAAAGCUCUGUGGGGAGGGACGAACAAGCCGGGAGCUAAUACCCCCGGUCCUGACGGUACCUCCUUAGCAAGCACCGGCUAACCCUGUGCCAGCAGCCGCGGUAAUACAGGGGGUGCAAACGUUGCUCGGAAUUAUUGGGCGUAAAGCGCGCGUAGGCGGCCACUUAAGUCGGAUGUGAAAGCCCCUGGCUCAACUGGGGAAGUGCACCCGAAACUGAUUGGCUUGAAUACAAAAGAGGGUCGCGGAAUUCCCGGUGUAGAGGUGAAAUUCGUAGAUAUCGGGAGGAACACCGGUGGCGAAGGCGGCGACCUGGGUUGAUAUUGACGCUGAGGCGCGAAAGCGUGGGGAGCAAACAGGAUUAGAUACCCUGGUAGUCCACGCCGUAAACGAUGAGUGCUAGAUGUUUCUGGUAUUGACCCCGGAGGCGUCGUAGCUAACGCGUUAAGCACCCCGCCUGGGGAGUACGGCCGCAAGGCUAAAACUCAAAGGAAUUGACGGGGGCCCGCACAAGCGGCGGAGCAUGCGGCUUAAUUCGAUGCGACGCGAAGAACCUUACCUGGGCUUGACAUGCAGGGCAAAGCCGGUGAAAGCUGGCGCUCUACGGAGCCUGCACAGGUGGUGCAUGGCUGUCGUCAGCUCGUGCCGUGAGGUGUUGCCUUAAGUGGCGCAACGAGCGCAACCCUUGUCCUUAGUUGCCAGCGGGUAAAGCCGGGAACUCUAGGGAGACUGCCGGUGCCAAACCGGAGGAAGGUGGGGAUGACGUCAAGUCAUCAUGCCCCUUAUGUCCAGGGCUGCACGCAUGCUACAAUGCGCGGCACAAAGGGCUGCGAUCCCGUAAGGGGGAGCGAAUCCCAAAAAGCCGCGCUCAGUUCGGAUCGGGGUCUGCAACCCGACCCCGUGAAGUCGGAGUCGCUAGUAAUCGCAGAUCAGCAAUG